CUAAUGUGUCAGAGUCAAUGUACUAAAUUUAAGAUUUAGCUAUGAAAUUUUUUAUUCCUUUAGUA
rnacentral:tRNA from 1 species